rnacentral:ncRNA from 1 species
UAAAGAUGAGGAUAGAGAAUGUGUCACUAUCGCCCCUUGUAAAAGGUAGGAGAUGUGGGAAAUGGCAGACCCACCGUUUUUU